rnacentral:lncRNA from 1 species
AGAAUUUGGUUAAGAUUUUUUAAGAUAUGACUAGGAUUUGACUAGAAUUUGACUAGGAUUUGGUUAUGAUUUAUUUAAUAGGAUUAAUUUAAGAUUAAUUAAGAUUUGGUUAAGAUUUGAUUAGGAUUUAGUUAAUAUUUGAUUAAAAAUUGAUUACAUUUGUUUAAAAUUUGAUUAGGAUUUGGUUAGGAUUUGUUUAGGAUUUGAUUAGGAUUUGGUUAAGAUUUGUUUAGGAUUUGAUUAAGCUUUGAUUAAGAUUUGGUUAUGAUUUGUUAAAAUUUGACUAAGAUUUGAUUAGGAUUGUUUAAUAUUUGAAUAAGAUUUAUUUAGAAUUGAUUAGGAUUUGAUUAAGAUUUAUUUAGAUUUUUUUAGGAUUUAGUUAGGAUUUGUUAGGAUUUGAUUAGGAUUUGGUUAAGAUUUAUUUAGGAUUUGACUAAGGUUUAUUUAAGGUUGAUUAGGAUUUAGUUAGGAUUUGGUUAUAAUUUUAUUAGGAUUUGAUUAGGAUUUGGUUAAGAUUUGAUUAGAUUUUUUUAAGGUUUGAUUAGAAUUUGGUUAGAACUUAUUUAAGAUUUGACUAAGAUUUGAUUAAGAUUAGGUUAAGAUUUGUUAGAAUUUGAUUGAAACUUAGUUAGGAUUUGUUUAGGAUUUGAUUAAGAUUUAUUUAGAAUAGAUUAGGAUUUUAUUAGGAUUUAACGCAGAUUUAAUUAGGGUUUGGUUAAGAUUUGAUUGGAUUUGUUUAGGAUUUGAUUACGAUUUGGUAAUGAUUUUUUUAGGAUUUGAUUAGAAUUUGGUUAGGAUUUGUUAGGAUUUGAUUAAGAUUUAUUUAGGAUUGAUUAGGAUUUGAUUAAGAUUUGACUAGGAUUUUGUUAAGAUUUGGUUAGGAUUUAAUUAGAAUUUGAUUAGAAUUUAAGUAGAACUUGAUUAGGAUUUGACUAGGAUUUUGUUAAGAUUUGGUUAGGAUUUAAUUAGAAUUUGAUUAGAAUUUAAGUAGAAUUUGAUUAGGAUUUGACCAGGAUUUAUUUAGGAUUUUUAUUUUAAUAUUUUAUUAAGAUUUCUAUUUUAAUAUAUUUUUGAAUUCCUAUGUUAUUUCUUUAUAAUUUCUUUAAAGGAUCUUUAAGAUUAUUUUUUAUUUUUUACAUAAUUCCUUUGUAAUUUUGA